rnacentral:rRNA from 1 species
CCUACGGGGGGCAGCAGUGAGGAAUAUUGGUCAAUGGCCGGAAGGCUGAACCAGCCAUGCCGCGUGAAGGUCAGUGCCCUAUGGGCGUUAAACUUCUUUUGUGCGGGAGCAAUAAUGGUCACGUGUGGCCAGACGAGAGUACCGUACGAAUAAGCAUCGGCUAACUCCGUGCCAGCAGCCGCGGUAAUACGGGGGAUGCAAGCGUUAUCCGGAUUUAUUGGGGUUAAAGGGUGCGUAGGCUGUUAGGUAAGUCAGCGGUGAAAUGCCCCCGCUCAACGGGGUGAAGUGCCAUUGAUACUGCCUUGCUGGAGUGCGGAUGCCGUGGGAGGAAUGUGUGGUGUAGCGAUGAAAUGCAUAGAUAUCACACAGAACACCGAUUGCGAAGGCAUCUCACGAAUCCGCGAUUGACGCUGAUGCACGAAAGCGUGGGUAUCAAACAGGAGUAGAUACCCCAGUAGUC